rnacentral:rRNA from 7 species
UUGGACCUGAUAUCAGGCAAGAUUACCCGCUGAACU